ACACAUGCAGUCGAACGGUAGCACAGAGGAGCUUGCUCCUUGGGUGACGAGUGGCGGACGGGUGAGUAAUGUCUGGGAAACUGCCCGAUGGAGGGGGAUAACUACUGGAAACGGUAGCUAAUACCGCAUAACGUCGCAAGACCAAAGAGGGGGACCUUCGGGCCUCUUGCCAUCGGAUGUGCCCAGAUGGGAUUAGCUAGUAGGUGGGGUAACGGCUCACCUAGGCGACGAUCCCUAGCUGGUCUGAGAGGAUGACCAGCCACACUGGAACUGAGACACGGUCCAGACUCCUACGGGAGGCAGCAGUGGGGAAUAUUGCACAAUGGGCGCAAGCCUGAUGCAGCCAUGCCGCGUGUAUGAAGAAGGCCUUCGGGUUGUAAAGUACUUUCAGCGAGGAGGAAGGUGUUGUGGUUAAUAACCGCAGCAAUUGACGUUACUCGCAGAAGAAGCACCGGCUAACUCCGUGCCAGCAGCCGCGGUAAUACGGAGGGUGCAAGCGUUAAUCGGAAUUACUGGGCGUAAAGCGCACGCAGGCGGUCUGUCAAGUCGGAUGUGAAAUCCCCGGGCUCAACCUGGGAACUGCAUCCGAAACUGGCAGGCUAGAGUCUUGUAGAGGGGGGGUAGAAUUCCAGGUGUAGCGGUGAAAUGCGUAGAGAUCUGGAGGAAUACCGGGUGGCGAACGCGGCCCCCUGGACAAAGACUGACGCUCAGUGCGAAAGCGUGGGGAGCAAGCAGAUUAGAUACCCUGGUAGUCACGCCGUAAACAAUGUCGACUUGGGAGU
rnacentral:rRNA from 1 species